rnacentral:lncRNA from 1 species
AACAAAAUAACUACAACCAAAAUGACUACAACAAAAUAACUACCCAAUUCACGAACACAAGUAAUUCGAAUUAAACAAUUUCACCAAAAUAAUUCACGAACCCAAUUCACGAAUUUAAAAUCAACGAAAUAGGAUACUUACUUGAUUUGAAGAAGAAGCCAUGGUGUAUGCCUUCGGACGUUGAAAAAAUCGUGAAUGCUCUCCUUGAAGUUCAAAAAAAAUGAUUCUCAUUCAAACAUGGACAAAUUAAACAAGAAAACAAAGCAAAAAAAAUUUACAUUCCAAUUUACCUUCGGUUUGGAAUGCUCUCCUCUUUCUCAAAAAUUUACCCGAUGCUCUUUCUCAUCUCUCUCUCUUUCUCGGCUGCCUCUCUCUCUCACUCUCUCUCAAAAAAUAAACUGAUGCCGUGAAUUCAAAAUGGAAUGCGGCUAGGUUAAAAGUUCUAAUUCUUAUACAUGUAAAUGGGUUUCUUGGUCAAACAAGCCUUAAAUUGCCUUGUGAAUUUGAGAUACAGCCGUGUAUAUCCCCCCAAUAAAGCUUCCGCGAUUCUCGCCUAUCUGUAUAGCCGUAUGAAUUGUCCAAUCAC